rnacentral:misc_RNA from 1 species
AGGUCGAAGUCGUAAAUGUGGAGGAAUGCUUGUUAUCGAAGGGCGUGCAAAGGAUACGAUAGUUCUUAGUACAGGUGAAAAUGUUGAACCCUCAGAACUCGAGGAAGCUGCUAUGAGAAGUCGUGUGAUCCACCAGAUUAUGGUUGUUGGUCAGGAUCAAAGGCGACUUGGUGCUCUCAUUGUUCUAAACAAAGAAGAACUUGUGG